CCGGUCUUGUUACAUUGUAGCACUCUCAUGUGUACAAUUUUUGUCAGAUUAAGUGAAACUCAUACAUAAGCAAUGUCUUUGACAAUUUGGAAAAUAAGUCGUUAUCAAAUAUUUUAACCAGAUAUGACCCUUUGAAAUAUAAAUUGUAAUGAAAAUCCCAUUUCAUUUCUUGUGAUGCAUUUAUUUCUCUUAAGAUAUUGAGAAUAAUAAAAGAUAAAGAAAAAAAAAGUGAUUCUCUUUUUCCUUGCCCUUUGAUAGAUAAAAUAUGACAUGUAAUUGUGCAUGGCGGGGAACAUUGGAUCGUUGUUCUUUACUGAUUGAAAAUAAAAUUAGUAUUUGAACCCAGAUAGAAACGGGAAUUCAUAAGCCUAGGACUUAUCACGAUCUAUUACAAAUUGAUUUUUUAAUCACGUCGUUUACCAUAUCGCAAGAAACGAUAUCAGGAUAUGGUGUUUUAGUUGUCAGUUGCUAUAGUCAAAAGAGAAGCCAUCUCUCCACUAGGUUCAAUUUCAGAUAAAACAUGUCCACGGGUCUGCGUAUCAGUCCUCUUCGCUUGCCUUAGCCGAUGACUUUUUUUUACGAACAAAUGCUAACUUGAAACACUAUAUUGCGAUUCAACUAUCUUGUUUACAUCAACUAAAUUAUCCUAAAUGAAUGACCGGGCAUGCUGCAUCGAAAAUGACUGGACGUUAUCCCCAUAUCCUCAGCCUUGUUACAUUUGGACACUUCCAAGUUAAACUGCUGCUAUUUUUUUUUGUCAAAACGAUGUGGAUGCUUGAGCAUCUGAGCAUACAUGCAAGCUACGCCACUG
rnacentral:lncRNA from 1 species